AUUCUUUGUUGAUUUUUCAUUAUGUCGUUAUUUUUCCUUUAUUUCUCUGUUACACUGUUAUGCCACCUUUAUUCUUCCAUUACACCAUUAUAUGUCCCUGUUAUGACGAAGUUUCGCCUAUACACAACAUUUACAUUCAAAAUAUUUGAAAUACGAUUCAUAAUUCAUUACCGGAGCAGUGCUAAGAAAAAACAACCGAGUCACAGAAAUUUUGGCAACUCGACAGCUUCUUUGAACCGUGAUUGGGACAUAUCCUAAUUUUUACGAAUCAAAAUGAUUUGUGAAAUCAAAUAGACUUAAAGUUAGUCCAAAUCAGGAUUUUAUUCCUAAUACCGCAGUAUAGUG
rnacentral:lncRNA from 1 species